UGAAUGGGCGUCAUCAGUGGUUAUCAGCCAGAUAUGCUAGACUCAGAAGGUUAUCAUCCAUCUCAGGGCUCUUUCUAGACAUCAGGAGGCCCUAUAGGCCAUCCAUCAUUCGCUAGCUACAGGACCAGUGCCACCCCUCAUAAACCCGCUGACAAGAGUGGAAGACUGCAGGAUGCACCGUCUUUGCUAAUUGGCAAGUGCAUUGUACAAGUAUAAUUUAGUGGGAAUGCUGGCCUCCAUUGGUGGAAGAGAUACCAAAAACAUUGUAACCAGCCAAAGGCCAUUUUGGCUGAGCAGUGAGGAAGAAUCGCAUGUCUGACAAAGCCACCGACACACACCGAGAUAAACCAUCAGGUGGUUUAAUCUGGUGUGCGACCGCCGCCAUGCCCGGUCACACCCAACUAAUGAGCAAUA